CUAUGUCGAAUGCAUCUAUCCCAUUGAAUUAGAGAUAAAGGAUACAACAGAUACAGUUAAGUCGGCAUCAUAUCUUGACUUACAUCUAGACAUUGACAAUGAGGGUCUAUUGAAAACAAAACUUUACGACAAAAGAGAUGAUUUUAGCUUUCCAAUUGUGAACUUUCCAUUUCUAAGUAGCAACAUUCCAGCAGCACCUGCAUACGGUGUAUAUAUCUCCUAAUUGAUACGAUAUGCCCGUG
rnacentral:lncRNA from 1 species